GGGUCUGUCCAUUGGUCGGGAUUUACGGUCCGUACUGGUGAGAUGGGUUCCUACCUUCUGAAUAACCGGCAUGCCAUUAAGUUGGUGCGCCGGGGAAGCAGAGCUAUUACCUUGAAAAAAUUAGAGUGCUUAAAGCAGGCUAUUGCUUGAAUAGAUUAGCAUGGAAUAAUAAAAUAGGACGGCAUGGUUCUAUUUUGUUGGUUUCUAGGAUCACCGUA
rnacentral:rRNA from 1 species